GGGCUGGGGCUCAGUGGUAGAGCACUGCCUAGCACGUUCGAGGCCCUGGGUUUGAUCCUCAGCACCACA
rnacentral:tRNA from 1 species